rnacentral:rRNA from 2 species
GCUUACGGCCAUACCACCCUGAACACGCCCGAUCUCGUCUGAUCUCGGAAGCUAAGCAGGGUCGGGCCUGGUUAGUACUGGAUGGAGAC